UAUUUGGACCUAGGUUCAGUUUGUUUGUCUACAUUCCAUUUAAAAGAACAAUGCAGAUAUUUGCGUAAACCGAUUUUGGGUUAAGACAAGUAACUAUGGAUAUGGGCAAACGUAAUGAUACGCUUGCAAGCUGAGUUUGAAUAAAACAUCCGAUUACCACUUCAUUUAGAAAUAUUAUUUAUUAGCUAUAAUAAAAAACUAUCAAAUCAUUGAUGGAUCACAAAAUAAUAUAAAUGCACGUUUCUCGUCUGUCCCGGCUAGCCAAUCGGCAUACGCGUCAUCACACUCCCUCAUCUGAUUGGUCGAGUAGGUGGAUCUUCUGACUUUGUGGCUGUUGUCACUAGGACGGCCACCUGAUUUUCUGUGCUUGUAUGAACAAUGCUCCGCGAGACCGUGGCGUGAACUGGAUGUACACGCUUGCGGAUAAAAAAAAAACAAAAAAACAUUUACUCGUUGGUUACUGACUCAUUGUGGAUAUUGAGCCAAAACUACCGGAUACUGUGAUUGACAGAGUCGAAAGCCUUGGCCAGGUCGAUGAAGACUGCUGCACAGUACUGUCUUUAAUCGAUGGCGGUUAUGAUAUCUCUGGAGAGACCUGAAAACAGAUGUCCAGUGAAGUUCCCCAUCCAACCUUAGAGCUUGUGAGGAUCUGCAGAAAAUAAUGGGAAACUCCCCAAAUACAGGUGUGCCAAGCUUGUAGCAGCAUAAAGAAGACUCGAGGCUGUAAUCUCUGCCAAAGGUGCUUCAACAAAGUACCGAGUAAAGGGACUGUGAUAUGGACUUGUGAGGAAUGAGAUGGCAAAACCUUAUGGAUGUCUUGUUGCAUUACAAAAGCAUUGAUGGCAGUUUGAAAAUCUUAGUGGACAAAACAGAAAAGGCCUUGGAGGACUUCCCCUGUCGUGUUUUGCCUAUAUUUACACCAUGGUUCCCACCUGAAAGUGACAAAUUAUUGCCAAUUAGACCCUUAAAGUCACCGCCGAUAAUUUCUCUGGAAGAUUUGGAAAAUAUCCAAACACAUCUGCAGUCUGCUGAGCCAUUACUAACAUCCCAUCCCUGUGCUGAAAGCAUUCAGAACUUGGCUCUAACCAGUUUGGGGAGAUCCACCUUGCAUGUACAGGCAUGCUCUGAGUUUGGAACAUCAGCACAGCAUAAAGAUACUCUCCAUAGUGAGAGGGAAGUGAAAGUGAAAAGAUCAUGGAGUGUUUUUUCACAGAGAGGUUUAUACAUUCACAACACUCAAACAUUCUCCAAACAAUUCCACAAGGUUGUUUGGAGGCACGGACUUCACAUGCGCCAGAGAGCAAAAUGGGUUAUUGACAAACUGAACUUUGUCACUGGAGACAUAGAACAUACAUGGAGAGGACUGAACCGGGCCAUCAGGAACUCCAUGCUUCCAACUUGCAAUGCCAACAUUCAGAGGGAUCUGACACAAAUCUGUGUGUUCUGCGAUGUAUUAUACUGUGAAUAUGUUGGAAAUUAUUUAAAGGAAGAAUUUCAAGUCACUGGACAGAUCACUUUAUUUGUUCAUAGACUUGGAGACAUUUUCACUUUAUAGAAAUUAGUGAUUGUCAGAAUUUGAUCUGUGUGUCACUGCCAUCUAUUUUGUUAACUGUAGUAGGCAGGUUUCCAUUGACUCAGGUGUAUUUGAUUUUAAAGCAAUGUCGCAAAAAGAAUGAGACAUGUGUAAUGGAAACAGCAGAUGGGAGACAUUUUUUAAAGAUCAACAACAUUUAUCUCCAUUUGACAGGGGUGGAUUAUUCUUCUGUCAAACUUUUGUUAUUGCGGAAAAUAAUGCUGGAAACUGUUUUUCGAAUAAAUGAUGAUUGCCAAAUCA